ACGUACACUCCUGCGGGAGGCAGCAGUGGGAAUAUUGGACAAUGGGCGCAAGCCUGAUCCAGCCAUGCCGCGUGAGUGAUGAAGGCCCUAGGGUUGUAAAGCUCUUUCACCGGUGAAGAUAAUGACGGUAACCGGAGAAGAAGCCCCGGCUAACUUCGUGCCAGCAGCCGCGGUAAUACGAAGGGGGCUAGCGUUGUUCGGAUUUACUGGGCGUAAAGCGCACGUAGGCGGACUAUUAAGUCAGGGGUGAAAUCCCGGGGCUCAACCCCGGAACUGCCUUUGAUACUGGUAGUCUUGAGUUCGAGAGAGGUGAGUGGAAUUCCGAGUGUAGAGGUGAAAUUCGUAGAUAUUCGGAGGAACACCAGUGGCGAAGGCGGCUCACUGGCUCGAUACUGACGCUGAGGUGCGAAAGCGUGGGGAGCAAACAGGAUUAGAAACCCCUGUAGUCCCAUGA
rnacentral:rRNA from 1 species